rnacentral:rRNA from 1 species
UACGUAGGGUGCGAGCGUUAAUCGGAAUUACUGGGCGUAAAGCGUGCGCAGGCGGUUCGUUAAGUCAGCUGUGAAAGCCCCGAGCUUAACUUGGGAAUUGCGGUUGAAACUGGCGGACUAGAAUCUGGCAGAGGGGGGUGGAAUUCCACGUGUAGCAGUGAAAUGCGUAGAGAUGUGGAGGAACACCGAUGGCGAAGGCAGCCCCCUGGGCUGAGAUUGACGCUCAGGCACGAAAGCGUGGGAGCAAACAGGG